GACCGGCCUCUGUCUCCAGGCUGCGAGGCAGCAGCAACCUCCUUCGCUGGCUGAUGACCGUCUUCGCCGCGGAUCCAACUCCCAACGUGGUCGGCUUGCUUCCCGUCGUCACCAUUGCAGUGAGGUCACGAGGAUUUGAAGAAUCACCCUGGUAACUGGAAUCUCGAGUGCCAGGCAAGUUGUGCCCUUGACCACUUCUAUUACCCAAUAAUGUUCUUUAUAAUCAUUUAUUCAUGCAAAAUUUUAAUUUUGAUGGGACCUAAUAGGUUACCCUAGUCUGUUUAUACUUUUUACCUUGUUUACCCCUGAUUCACAUGGGUAGUUUGCUAUUGCUUAUUUGGUUUUGGGAUUUUUAUUUCAUUAUAUCCAUGUUCCAAUUAUUCUGUUAUGUUAUUUUUGUUCAUGUCAAGAUCAUUAUAUUAUUUGAGAAACACGUAGAUUCACAUGGAGCUUAACUUGAGAAACACGUGCCACCACAAGGGUGGAAUAGGAUGCCCUAGGCUGACUAAUUAGGAAAGCUAGUGGAAGACUACCUUACCCGAAAGGGGCAAGAGCAGUAGGGGAGUUGCAUGCAGGGAGGUUCUUGGGUUGAUUUUGCUGCGAUGGCGGUCAGACGAGGGAUUCUUGCAAGUGCUCUUCCCAUAAACUAUAGCGGGUUUUCGGAAGCUAGUGGAACUUUAUAAAGACCUCACAAUGGAUCCCUAGUCAUUCACCUCGGUGGUGUCUAAGGGUCUAGCUAACCCUGGCAAUAUAGGAUACACGACUUGUGGGUAAAGGGUACAAUCUCUGCAGAGUGUAAAACUGGUAUACUAGCCGAGCUCACGGUCAAGAGCAGCUCAGGACUCUCGCAUGAUUAAAUUAUGGAACCUAAACUCAAUCUGUCAUAUGUGUUGCAUGGGAUCAUUUGUUAUUAAUUUUGUUCUAUUAUUAUUAUUAUGGUUUGGUAUUUACUUACAUCUAGUAAUUGCUAAUAAAACUUUGACCAACUUUAAAAGCAAUGCUCAGCUUUAACCAUUCUCUUUGGUAAGCCUUACACUUCACAUGAUCUUCCACCUUUGGUGAGUUCAUGCCACAUUAUUCCCCACAACUUGUUGAGCGAUGAACAUGUGAGAGCUCACCCUUGUUGUCUCACACCUCCCAAGAGAAGAUCAGGUGGUUCAAGAGGAGCCGCACAUCGAGGAGUUCGAUUCGAUCUAGGUGGCGUCUCCAGUUGACUUUCUGGGGCCAAGGAUGGAUUUUAGAUCCUUUUAUAUUUAUCUUUUAUUUUGUAAGACUUCUGAUAUGUAAUAAGUACUCUGAUUAUAUUGUGACAUUUAUCUCUAUACACUCUAUU
rnacentral:lncRNA from 7 species